AGCAGCAUGGCGCAGCUGGAAGCGCGCGGGGCCCAUACUUAUCGUAACAACGGUGAAACCCCGAGGUCACUCGAUCGAAACGAGUUGCUGCUA